rnacentral:tRNA from 1 species
CGGAGUGUGGCUCAGUCUGGUCUAGAGCGUUGCGUUCGGGACGCAAAAGUCGGAGGUUCAAAUCCUCUCACUCCGACCA